rnacentral:sRNA from 1 species
UAGAAAUACAAGCUGUCUGCAACGAAUA